AGAGUUUGAUCAUGGCUCAGGACGAACGCUGGCGGCGCGCUUAACACAUGCAAGUCGAGCGAGAACCAGCCCUUCGGGGCUGGGGACAGCGGCGAACGGGUGAGUAACACGUGAGUAAUCCACCCUCGGCAUCGGGAUAGCCCGGGGAAACCCGGAUUAAUACCGAAUGGCCCAUUCGCUCCUCGGAGAUGAAUGGAAAAGGUAGCUUCGGCCUCUGGCCGGGGACGAGCUUGCGGCGGAUUAGCUUGUUGGUGGGGUAAAGGCCCACCAAGGCGACGAUCCGUAGCUGGUCUGAGAGGACGAUCAGCCACACUGGGACUGAGACACGGCCCAGACUCCUACGGGAGGCAGCAGUGGGGAAUCUUGCGCAAUGGGCGAAAGCCUGACGCAGCGACGCCGCGUGCGGGAAGAAGGCCUUCGGGUUGUAAACCACUGUCGAAGGGGAAGAUAAUGACGGUACCCUUGGAGGAAGCCCCGGCUAACUACGUGCCAGCCGCCGCGGUAAUAC
rnacentral:rRNA from 1 species